rnacentral:rRNA from 1 species
GUCCAGAGUUGUAAGCUGGAGAGGUGUCGUUGGAUGCGGUCCGGGCUCAAUUUCCUUGGAACAGGAGGUCAUGGAGGGUGAGAACCCCGUAUGUGGCUUGGGUGCCGUGGUCCUUGUGACGUAUCCUCUAAGAGUCGGGUUGUUUGGGAAUGCAGCUCAAAAUGGGUGGUAAAUUUCAUCUAAAGCUAAAUAUUGGUGAGAGACCGAUAGCAAACAAGUAGAGUGAUCGAAAGAUGAAAAGUACUUUGAAAAGAGAGUGAAACAGUACGUGAAAUUGUUGAAAGGGAAGCGUUUGGCAUCAGCCCAUGGCGGCGGUCGAACAUCUGGGCUUCUGCCCAGUGCACUCGGCAGUCGCCGGGCCAGCGUCGGUUCCACCUGCUGGAGGAAGGCCUUGGGGAAGUGGCACUCCCUUGUGGAGUGUGUUAUAACCCAUGGCGUCAUGCGGCUUGGUGGGGCCGAGGUCCGCGGUUUUGUCCUAGGACGCUGGCGUAAUGGUUCCAAGCGACCCGUCUUGAAACACGGACCAAGGAGUCUAACAUCUAUGCGAGUGUUUGGGUG